CCCUUAGACGUUCUGGGCCGCACGCGCGCUACACUGACGAAGGCAACGAGCUUUCCUUUACCGAAAGGUACGGGUAAUCUUUUGAAACCUCGUCGUGCUGGGGAUAGAUCCUUGCAAUUUUUGAUCUUAAACGAGGAAUGCCUAGUAAGCGCAAGUCAUCAACUUGCGUUGAUUACGUCCCUGCCCUUUGUACACACCGCCCGUCGCUACUACCGAUUGAAUGGUUUAGUGAGGCCUUCGGAUCCGCGACUCGUUUGUGGAGAAGUUGGACAAACUCAGUCAUUUAGAGGAAGUAAAAGUCGUAACA
rnacentral:rRNA from 1 species